UAGCUGUUGGACUGAACUCACUCGAGAGUGGCAUCAAUUUUCUCAUCUAACUUUCGACAAAAAAGCAAAUAAAGGACCUUGAUGUUUACAUCAGCAUGGAGAUCAUUAUAAGAAUGCUCUUCCAGCAUCAGUGCCCCGUCCAGUGUUUCUACUCUGGUACGAAGCCCAUAAUGCACUGCCCUGGGCAUGCUCACACACUCAUGCG